AGUUUGAUCCUGGCUCAAGAUGAACGCUGGCGGCGCGCCUAACACAUGCAAGUCGAACGGCACCCCUCUCCGGAGGGAAGCGAGUGGCGAACGGCUGAGUAACACGUGGAGAACCUGCCCCCUCCCCCGGGAUAGCCGCCCGAAAGGACGGGUAAUACCGGAUACCCCCGGGCGCCGCAUGGCGCCCGGGCUAAAGCCCCGACGGGAGGGGAUGGCUCCGCGGCCCAUCAGGUAGACGGCGGGGUGACGGCCCACCGUGCCGACAACGGGUAGCCGGGUUGAGAGACCGACCGGCCAGAUUGGGACUGAGACACGGCCCAGACUCCUACGGGAGGCAGCAGUGGGGAAUCUUGCGCAAUGGGGGGAACCCUGACGCAGCGACGCCGCGUGCGGGACGGAGGCCUUCGGGUCGUAAACCGCUUUCAGCAGGGAAGAGUCAAGACUGUACCUGCAGAAGAAGCCCCGGCUAACUACGUGCCAGCAGCCGCGGUAAUACGUAGGGGGCGAGCGUUAUCCGGAUUCAUUGGGCGUAAAGCGCGCGUAGGCGGCCCGGCAGGCCGGGGGUCGAAGCGGGGGGCUCAACCCCCCGAAGCCCCCGGAACCUCCGCGGCUUGGGUCCGGUAGGGGAGGGUGGAACACCCGGUGUAGCGGUGGAAUGCGCAGAUAUCGGGUGGAACACCGGUGGCGAAGGCGGCCCUCUGGGCCGAGACCGACGCUGAGGCGCGAAAGCUGGGGGAGCGAAAAGGAUUAGAUACCCUGGUAGUCCCAGCCG
rnacentral:rRNA from 1 species